AUUGAACGCUGGCGGCAUGCUUUACACAUGCAAGUCGAACGGUAACACGCCUUCGUGCGCUGACGAGUGGCUAACGGGCGAGUAAUUCAUCCAAACGUGCCCGGCGGUGGGUGAUAACGCAGCGAACGCUGUGCUAAUAACUCCUGCGAUCUGAGUACGAAUGCGGGCGACCAGGCAUCAAUGUUUGCCCUCGCGCCUUUGGAGCGGCCGAUGUCUGAUUAGGGUGUUGGUGGGGUAAAGGCCUACCAAGCCGACGAUCUGUAGCUGGUCUGAGAGGACGACCAGCCACACUGGGACUGAGACACGGCCCAGACUCCUACGGGAGGCAGCAGUGGGGAAUUUUGGACAAUGGGCGAAAGCCUGAUCCAGCAAUGCCGCGUGUGGGAAGAAGGCCUUCGGGUUGUAAAGCGCUUUUGUACGGAAAGAAAAGGUUGUGGCUAAUACCGUGGGGGGAUGACGGUACCGGAAGAAUAAGCACCGGCUAACUACGUG
rnacentral:rRNA from 1 species